rnacentral:rRNA from 1 species
AGUGAACGCUGGCGGUAGGCCUAACACAUGCAAGUCGAACGGCAGCACAGUAAGAGCUUGCUCUUACGGGUGGCGAGUGGCGGACGGGUGAGGAAUACAUCGGAAUCUACUUUUUCGUGGGGGAUAACGUAGGGAAACUUACGCUAAUACCGCAUACGACCUACGGGGGAAAGCAGGGGAUCUUCGGACCUUGCGCGAUUGAAUGAGUCGAUGUCGGAUUAGCUAGUUGGCGGGGUAAAGGCCCACCAAGGCGACGAUCCGUAGCUGGUCUGAGAGGAUGAUCAGCCACACUGGAACUGAGACACGGUCCAGACUCCUACGGGAGGCAGCAGUGGGGAAUAUUGGACAAUGGGCGCAAGCCUGAUCCAGCCAUACCGCGUGGGUGAAGAAGGCCUUCGGGUUGUAAAGCCCUUUUGUUGGGAAAGAAAAGCAGCAGGUUAAUACCCCGCUGUUCUGACGGUACCCAAAGAAUAAGCACCGGCUAACUUCGUG